rnacentral:rRNA from 1 species
UACGGGGGGGGGCAAGCGUUGUUCGGAAUUACUGGGCGUAAAGGGCUCGUAGGUGGCCAACUAAGUCAGACGUGAAAUCCCUCGGCUUAACCGGGGAACUGCGUCUGAUACUGGUUGGCUUGAGAUUGGGAGAGGGACGCGGAAUUCCAGGUGUAGCGGUGAAAUGCGUAGAUAUCUGGAGGAACACCGGUGGCGAAGGCGGCGUCCUGGACCAACACUGACACUGAGGAGCGAAAGCGUGGGGAGCGAACAGG